UACGGAGGGUGCGAGCGUUGUCCGGAAUCACUGGGCGUAAAGGGUGCGUAGGCGGCGCGGUAAGUCGGGUGUGAAAUCUCGGAGCUUAACUCCGAAACUGCAUUCGAUACUGCCGUGCUUGAGGACUGGAGAGGAGACUGGAAUUUACGGUGUAGCGGUGAAAUGCGUAGAUAUCAGGAGGAACACCGAUGGCGAAGGCAGGUCUCUGGGCCACUACUGACGCUGAGAAGCGAAAGCAUGGGGGAGCGAACAGG
rnacentral:rRNA from 1 species